GGGGUGACGGGGCUGGGGCCCUGCAGUGGCAGGGACAACCUUGGGUGGUGGGGACAGCCCCGGGCGGAGGGGACAGCCCUGGGUGACAGCCUUGGGAAGAGCGGGAAUGCAAAACCCUACGGUGGACAGAGGGAGAAGGCGUCACUGUGCAGUUACCAGAAAAUUUAAGUGGUGAAACACAAACGAGACCUGGUGACUUGUGUGAGAGCAAAGGCUGGGCUGGGGCUUGGCCGUGAGGAGCGCGGGAGGGAGGGUACAGGAUGGGCCCCAGGUACCGCUUCCUGGUGACACCCCUCCGGCGGUCCCCGUCACCCCCGAGUCACAUCCUGCUUGUGCUGGCUCAUGUCUCAUCCUGCUGCCUGCAGUUUCUCAAUCCCUUUUGCUCCUGCCAGCGUUUCCUGGCUGCCGAGGUUGCUGCGGGGCCCAUGGGGCCUGGGGGGAGCUCCCAAGGCACCGGGGAAUUUAGGAUGGGGGGCAAACUGGAGUGUCCUUGCUCGCCUAGGCACGGUCAGAGCCUGACCCUCCUCCAGCUCCUGCCAUCACUUGCUUCGUCCCCUGACUGUCGGCUGUGGGGGGCCACAGGGCUCUGGUUGUGCAUCUGCCGGUGCACAGCGAGGGCUCGCAGGUCCCCCUUGCAUCCAUCCUGCUGCCUCGAGCCCCGGCAGCCAGGGCAGAACAACAAGGUGGGAGUGAGCUGGAUGCUUAUUCCCUUUCUCUCUCAUGCCCUGAGUCCCUGCACCGAGCGAUGCCUCUGCAGGGACGCUGGCGAGAGCUGGGGCUGCAGAAAGCUGCUCCUGCGGGGCUGUGUCAGAGAGGAGCCCAGCCUGACUCUGCAGUCCCACGCUGAGCCGCGCUCAGGUCCUGCAGAGAAAACAAACACUGAGCUCCGUCCUACCCUAUUUUACAGCAGAACUGCCAUUUAAGGGAGGAUUUGGAGAGGAGACAUCUUCCUCUUUGCAAUUCCUUCUUGCCGGCGCAGCUCCCUAUCCCUGGCGUAUGCUAGACCCCUCUCUAUGGAGCAUCCCAGCAGCUAAAGGGUCAUCCUCUGGCUGCAGCUUUCCUGCGCUCUCUCUGUCCCUGCUUUGUGCCUGGUGCCCUUUCCUCCUCCCCAGCCCCAUCUCCGGAGGGACUGUGCUUACAGCUCGCCCGGCAGCAGGCUCCGGGAAAGCACACACACUUGUUGGAAGCUCGGUGUCCUCCGCGGCUGGAGUGUUACAAGCCCUGGGUGCAGGGCUUUGCUGGAGCUGGAGACCCCAACCCCGAGAUGCAGAAGCAAUGCCGGCUGUGACAGCACAUGAGGGAGCUUGGCACUGCAGUGUUGGGACCGAGGGCACCACUGCAAUCGGAUGGUGAUGGGAGAUGUGAGCCGGCUUUCCUCUUCUGACUCUUGCCCAGGGAACCCUGUGCUGGGAAACGGCAUCAUCUCCAUGGGACACCGUGGCCAGCCAAGGUAAACCACGGGGAUGAGUCCCUGGGCAGGUUUUGCCAUCCUGGUCCUUCGUAGGACUUCUACUGUCAUCUCCUCCGGUCGGCUGCAGGAGCCAGAUCUUGAGUGGGUCUGAUUUUAUCCACACAGCAACAUCAGUGCCAUGCAUCCAAGGGAGAAGUCGUCCUUGAUUUGGCAGACAUGACCAGAUCUGGACAGAAAAUGGAUUUUGUUCCAUAAAGGCAGAGAGGGGACACGGACAAACAGCUCAGCUGAGGUACUGUUGGGUUGGGCACCUCUCAAACUGCAUCCCGUGCUGGCAGAGUGUGAUGACUGUUUGGGUUUUCUACAAAAACCCUUUUGACAGAGGUGCCCCUGCUAUGAGGGGUCCAAGUGGCGCUUGCCAAGGGCAUUUGCCAUGUUUUAGACCCUAGGGCAAUGUCACCCCAUCCCAGAUGAACAAGCUGGAGCUGGGGACCUUCCCUGUUACCAGCCCGGAUCGCUAGUGAGGAAAACAUGUCCAACCCACUGCGUAUUCCCUCGCGCCUCCUUUCCAAGCAUUAAAAGUGCUAAUUAAACCUGA